GAAGUCACCUUUCCCCAGCGUCCACCUCAGGGAGGGCUCCAGGAGCAGGGUUUCCAAGGAAGCCACUUUCCCUCUUGUCCACGGCCCAGGCAUUGAUGCCCCUCUGGGCAGCAGCCAGGGCCUCCCAAGCCGGGAAGGGUGGGCAUGGGGCUACCCAGCAUGGCUCUGCCAGGGGUGAGGGUGGCCACAGUCCCCUGCCCACAUCCCUGUGCCCACAGAAACAUAUGCUGUAUGGAAUCAAGGUUUAAGGCAUCUAGGCCUGUGCUGGUAACCUGUAACCUUAGCCCCAUCCCUGUGCCCACAGAAACAUGUGCUGUAUUGACUCAAGGUUUAGGGGAUUUAGGGCUGUGCAGGAUGUGCUUUGUUAACAAUGUGUUUGCAGGCAGUAUGCUUGGUAAAAGUCAUCGCCAUCCUCCAUUCUCCAUUAACCAGGGACACAGUGCACUGCGGAAAGCCGCAGGGACCUCUGCCCAAGAAAGCCUGGGUAUUGUCCAGGUUUCCCCCCAGUGAGACGGCCUGAGAUAUGGCCUCGUGGGAAGGGAAAGACCUGAUCGUCCCCCAGCCCGACACCCAUAAAGGGUCUGUGCUGAGGAGGAUUAGUGAAAGAGGGAGGCCUCUUUGCAGUUGAGAUAAGAGGAAGGCUUCUGUCUCCGACAUGCCCCUGGGAACGGAAUGUCUCCGUGUAAAACCCGAUCGUACAUUAGUUCUAUUCUGAGACAGGAGAAAACCGCCCUGUGGCUGGA
rnacentral:lncRNA from 10 species